rnacentral:rRNA from 1 species
AACGCUGGCGGCAUGCCUUACACAUGCAAGUCGAACGGCAGCACGGGUGCUUGCACCUGGUGGCGAGUGGCGAACGGGUGAGUAAUACAUCGGAACAUGUCCUGUAGUGGGGGAUAGCCCGGCGAAAGCCGGAUUAAUACCGCAUACGAUCUAUGGAUGAAAGCGGGGGACUUUCGGGCCUCGCGCUAUAGGGUUGGCCGAUGGCUGAUUAGCUAGUUGGUGGGGUAAAGGCCUACCAAGGCGACGAUCAGUAGCUGGUCUGAGAGGACGACCAGCCACACUGGGACUGAGACACGGCCCAGACUCCUACGGGAGGCAGCAGUGGGGAAUUUUGGACAAUGGGCGAAAGCCUGAUCCAGCAAUGCCGCGUGUGUGAAGAAGGCCUUCGGGUUGUAAAGCACUUUUGUCCGGAAAGAAAUCCUUGGCUCUAAUACAGUCGGGGGAUGACGGUACCGGAAGAAUAAGCACCGGCUAACUACGUGCCAGCAGCCGCGGUAAUACGUAGGGUGCAAGCGUUAAUCGGAAUUACUGGGCGUAAAGCGUGCGCAGGCGGUUUGCUAAGACCGAUGUGAAAUCCCCGGGCUCAACCUGGGAACUGCAUUGGUGACUGGCAGGCUAGAGUAUGGCAGAGGGGGGUAGAAUUCCACGUGUAGCAGUGAAAUGCGUAGAGAUGUGGAGGAAUACCGAUGGCGAAGGCAGCCCCCUGGGCCAAUACUGACGCUCAUGCACGAAAGCGUGGGGAGCAAACAGGAUUAGAUACCCUGGUAGUCCACGCCCUAAACGAUGUCAACUAGUUGUUGGGGAUUCAUUUCCUUAGUAACGUAGCUAACGCGUGAAGUUGACCGCCUGGGGAGUACGGUCGCAAGAUUAAAACUCAAAGGAAUUGACGGGGACCCGCACAAGCGGUGGAUGAUGUGGAUUAAUUCGAUGCAACGCGAAAAACCUUACCUACCCUUGACAUGGUCGGAAUCCUGAAGAGAUUCGGGAGUGCUCGAAAGAGAACCGGCGCAC